rnacentral:rRNA from 1 species
CUCUGUGACUCCUACGGGAGGCAGCAGUGGGGAAUAUUGCACAAUGGGCGCAAGCCUGAUGCAGCCAUGCCGCGUGUGUGAAGAAGGCCUUCGGGUUGUAAAGCACUUUCAGUUGUGAGGAAGGUGGUGUCGUUAAUAGCGGCAUCAUUUGACGUUAGCAACAGAAGAAGCACCGGCUAACUCCGUGCCAGCAGCCGCGGUAAUACGGAGGGUGCGAGCGUUAAUCGGAAUUACUGGGCGUAAAGCGCAUGCAGGCGGCCUGUUAAGUCAGAUGUGAAAGCCCGGGGCUUAACCUCGGAAUUGCAUUUGAAACUGGCAGGCUAGAGUCUUGUAGAGGGGGGUAGAAUUUCAGGUGUAGCGGUGAAAUGCGUAGAGAUCUGAAGGAAUACCAGUGGCGAAGGCGGCCCCCUGGACAAAGACUGACGCUCAGAUGCGAAAGCGUGGGGAGCAAACAGGAUUAGAUACCCUGGUAG